GACGAACGCUGGCGGCGUGCUUAACACAUGCAAGUCGAACGGAAAGGCCCUGCUUUUGUGGGGUGCUCGAGUGGCGAACGGGUGAGUAACACGUGAGUAACCUGCCCUUGACUUUGGGAUAACUUCAGGAAACUGGGGCUAAUACCGGAUAGGAGCUCCUGCUGCAUGGUGGGGGUUGGAAAGUUUCGGCGGUUGGGGAUGGACUCGCGGCUUAUCAGCUUGUUGGUGGGGUAGUGGCUUACCAAGGCUUUGACGGGUAGCCGGCCUGAGAGGGUGACCGGCCACAUUGGGACUGAGAUACGGCCCAGACUCCUACGGGAGGCAACAGUGGGGAAUAUUGCACAAUGGGCGGAAGCCUGGUGCAGCAACGCCGCGUGCGGGAUGACGGCCUUCGGGUUGUAAACCGCUUUCGCCUGUGACGAAGCGUGAGUGACGGUAAUGGGUAAAGAAGCACCGGCUAACUACGUG
rnacentral:rRNA from 1 species